rfam:Caenorhabditis brenneri strain PB2801 C_brenneri-6.0.1_Cont688.1, whole genome shotgun sequence.
AUCCAUUGCCCUACUCUUCGCAUCUCAUCACUUCGUCCGCCAAUAUAAGGAUGAGAUCGUUCAGUACGGCAAUGGAA